UACGGAGGGUGCAAGCGUUAUCCGGAUUCACUGGGUUUAAAGGGUGCGUAGGCGGGCAGGUAAGUCAGUGGUGAAAUCUCCGAGCUUAACUCGGUAACUGCCGUUGAUACUAUUUGUCUUGAAUAUUGUGGAGGUAAGCGGAAUAUGUCAUGUAGCGGUGAAAUGCUUAGAUAUGACAUAGAACACCAAUUGCGAAGGCAGCUUACUACGCAACGAUUGACGCUGAGGCACGAAAGCGUGGGGAGCAAACAGG
rnacentral:rRNA from 1 species